AACGAACGUUAGCGGCGCGCUUAACACAUGCAAGUCGUGCGAGAAAGGGCUUCGGCCCGGUAAAGCGGCGCACGGGUGAGUAACACGUGGGUAACCUACCCUUGGGUGGUGGAUAACCUUCCGAAAGGAGGGCUAAUACAGCAUAAGACCACAGCUUCAUCGGAAGCAGCGGUCAAAGCCGGCCUCUUCAUGAAAGCUGGCGCCUGAGGAUGGGCCCGCGGCCCAUCAGCUUGUUGGUAGGGUAAUGGCCUACCAAGGCUAAGACGGGUAACUGGUCUGAGAGGAUGAUCAGUCACACUGGAACUGAGACACGGUCCAG
rnacentral:rRNA from 1 species